rnacentral:rRNA from 1 species
UCGGCGCACCCAGAAACCCUUUGUGAACUUAUACCCAAACUGUUGCCUCGGCGCAGGCCGGCCUCUUUCGUUAGGGGCCCCCUGGAGACAGGGAGCAGCCCGCCGGCGGCCGACCAAACUCUGUUUCUAUAGUGAAUCUCUGAGAAAAAAACAUAAAUGAAUCAAAACUUUCAACAACGGAUCUCUUGGUUCUGGCAUCGAUGAAGAACGCAGCGAAAUGCGAUAAGUAAUGUGAAUUGCAGAAUUCAGUGAAUCAUCGAAUCUUUGAACGCACAUUGCGCCCUCUGGUAUUCCGGAGGGCAUGCCUGUUCGAGCGUCAUUUCAACCCUCAAGCCUGGCUUGGUGAUGGGGCACUGCCUGUAAGAGGGCAGGCCCUGAAAUCUAGUGGCGUGCUCGCCAGGACCCCGAGCGUAGUAGUUACAUCUCGCUCUGGAAGGCCCUGGCGGUGCCCUGCCGUUAAACCCCCAACUUCUGAAAAUUUGACCUCGGAUCAG